rnacentral:rRNA from 1 species
UACAGAGGUCUCAAGCGUUGUUCGGGUUCAUUGGGCGUAAAGGGUGCGUAGGCGGCGCGGUAAGUCGGGUGUGAAAUCUCGGAGCUUAACUCCGAAACUGCAUUCGAUACUGCCGUGCUUGAGGACUGGAGAGGAGACUGGAAUUUACGGUGUAGCGGUGAAAUGCGUAGAUAUCGGGAGGAACACCAGUGGCGAAGGCGGCUUCCUGGCCUGUUCUUGACGCUGAGGCGCGAAAGCUAGGGGAGCAAACGGG